rnacentral:lncRNA from 1 species
AGUGGGUGUGGCAGACUCCUGGGCUAACAGCCCAAGGGACGCACCUCAGUGGCCCCCACCUGUGUCCCUAUCAGCACGCCUGGACCAGCUCAGAACAACGGCCCCCACCAAUGUCUCAGUCUCCGGAGAGGACCCUCCUCUCACCAAGAUGCCCCCAGAGCCCACCAGUUGAGGAAAAAAACCCAAUAUGGAACAAAUACAGCAACCUUCUCCUUGUCUUCCUGGAACGAAAGUUGAGGCUGGAUCAUAAAUUAUUUAGUAGUACAUCCUUUUUCUUUGGAAUCCAGAAAGCACCUACCAAUAUUUUGGAUAUACUGACACAAAUUCACCACGGCCUUCACUCACUUUUCUCCUUCUCCCUGACCAAGAUGUGAGAAUCAAGAUACACUGCAGCAGAGUAGCAAACCCCAUCGGCUCAGCCAUUCUGACUCUCAUAUUGCUUUGGGCGGUUACCACGAUGCUCACCCUUGCGGAUAUAGACACCCGUGAUUCCUGCAUUACUAAUAUGAUCUCAUCUCUUAUCUAAACUCCUUUGAUGGAACUGGUGGAGAAGUGAUAACCUCUGAAUCAAAGGAAUCUCAAACCACAAGACUCACUGACUAUAAGCAAAAUGACGAUAAAUUUUUAGAGAGGCAGAAGUUUCUUACUUAGGAUUAUUAAAGAAUAUGCUAAAGAAAGAUAAGCAACUUGAGCAGUUACUAAAUAUAUCAAGCACACAUGGGGCUGAGAUAUGUGGGGUGAUUCGCAGCUGAACAAACAAAAUGACUAUUUCUGUAGGGACCCUGAGUAUUUGGUGCUUUGUGAUUGAUGACGCACCCUACUAUUUAAGGAGUGAAGGAGAAUUAUCCUAUCUCAAGUUCAGAAUAGAUUUUUCUCUUCAAGAGAAAAUUAUUUUUAAAUAUUUGAAUGGCGCUUGAGUAAAAUAUGUCUAUCAUAAAAGUUAUCUAACAAUUUACAUUGCCACCAAGAUGACACAGCCUAAGAGCUGUGAUGACAUCAGAGGAAAAUAGAUAUAAUCUAUACAGUACAAGGAACUUCAUUUUUCUUCUUCUGCAAGAAACUGGCUCCAUUACAGUGAUAGUGAUUUUCAGAAAAUGGAUAGUUAUUGAGGUGAGAUUACUUAUGAGGGGAAUGUAGAUUAUUCAGGUGAAAAAGAAUGUAGAGGGGGCCAGCUCUGUGGCCAAGUGGUUAAGUUUGCACGCUCCAAUGCGGUGGCCCAGGGUUCGGAUCCUGGGCGCCGACAUGGCACCGCUCGUCAGGCCACGUUGAGGUGGCGUCCCACAUCCCGCCACAACUAGAAGGACCUGCAACUAAGAUAUACAAAUUUCCUAGAUUGUAUGAUCACCGUAAAAGAGCAGACAAAGCAUAUACUUAUUGGCCCUGUUGUCAUCACUGAACCAAAAUCCACAUGGGAGAAGAUAAAGUAAGAAACAACUUCAAAUUAAAACUAACUUUGAUAAUCAGUAAGGACUAGUCUCAAUACCGUCCAGAGGAGGAAUCACCAGAGCUCAAGUCAAAGUCCAUGAAGACUUCCAUGACCCAGCUGCAGCAUCACUGUGGCUUGGAGCUGGGCCAGAAGGUGCAGGAUUCAGCAUAAGCAGAGAUCUCGGCAAUUUGACUCCCAGACAAGUUCAAGAAGUAGAAGAUGACAGAAGAGUGAGACGAACCUUCCCAUGGCUGUCUUGCACAUUGAAAGAAGCUAAAUGAGGAGCCCCCAAAAGAAGUCUGUGGCCAGUCAGUACCCAAACCAGAGCAAAUGGCAAAGGGUGCUGUUCUGAUGCAUACUCUCUCCAGCAGGAAAGCUAAAAAUAUUAUUUUCAUAGUCAAAUCAUUAAAACGGUAAUGGUUUAUUUACUCUCCCCAAGUGUGGUUGGGAAAUAUGCUAGAUUAAAACUCAGGCAGCUGAGUUUCUGUUUCUGAUCUGCCAACUGUUAGGGUAAGCUGGUCUCUCCAUGUGCUCAUCCUGGCGAGCAGCUCCUCAGGCUUUUUACUGGAGAAACAGGAAGCAAUGAUGACAGAGCCGG